AGAGUUUGAUCCUGGCUCAGAAUCAACGCUGGCGGCGGCUUAACACAUGCAAGUCGAGCGAGAAAGGGGAGCAAUCCCUGAGUAAAGCGGCGCACGGGUGAGUAACACGUGGGGAAUCUACCUCUGGGUGGGGAAUAACUCUGGGAAACCGGAGCUAAUACCGCAUAAGCCUGAAAAGGGAAAGCCGAAAGGCGCCGAGAGAGGACCCCGCGGCCGAUUAGCUAGUUGGUGAGGUAACGGCUCACCAAGGCAAAGAUCGGUAGCCGGCCUGAGAGGGCACACGGCCACACUGGCACUGAAACACGGGCCAGACUCCUACGGGAGGCAGCAGUGGGGAAUCUUGCACAAUGGGGGAAACCCUGAUGCAGCGACGCCGUGUGAGCGAUGAAGCCCUUCGGGGCGUAAAGCUCUUUCGGCAGGAACGAUAAUGACGGUACCUGAAGAAGAAGCUGCGGCUAACUACGUGCCAGCAGCCGCGGUAAUACGUAGGCAGCAAGCGUUGUUCGGAGUUACUGGGCGUAAAGAGUGCGUAGGCGGUGUCGAAAGUUUGGCGUGAAAUCUCCCGGCUUAACUGGGAGGGUGCGCCGAAAACUGCGACGCUGGAGUGUGGGAAAGGCAAGCGGAAUUCCUGGUGUAGCGGUGAAAUGCGUAGAUAUCAGGAGGAACACCGGCGGUGUAGACGGCUUGCUAGACCAUAACUGACGCUGAGGCACGAAAGCGUGGGUAGCAAACAGGAUUAGAUACCCUAGUAGUCC
rnacentral:rRNA from 1 species